rnacentral:rRNA from 1 species
AUGGCCGAGGGCUCCGCGGCCGAUAUUGUCAUCCUGAAGUUUCUCCUCCUAUGCUUCCAACAGAUGUCCGGGCUCACUAUCAACUUUGACAAAAGCGAAGUGAUGGUUCUGGGAUACACCCCGGACGAGGCCCAGGGCAUUGCUGACCGGCUUCAUUGCCGCCUGGGUACUUUCCCCACGACAUAUUUGGGGAUACCCAUUAGUGACUCGCGACUCACCGUGGCGGACCCCCGCCCAACCGUUACCCGGAUGCAACACAGGGUCGAGCCUUGGAAGGGACGGUGGCUCUCGAAGGCGGCGAGGGUAAUCCUCAUCAACUCCUCGCUUGCCAGCCUCCUCUGGUUCCUCAUGAGCUUCUACAGCUUGCAUGAGACGCUCCAUCAGGAGAUCGCCAAGUACCAGUCCAGGUUUUUCUGGGCAGGCGAGGGAGACAAACAGAAGUACCAUAUGGUGAGCUGGCCGGACAUUUGCAAACCCAAGGACCAGGGAGGUCUUGGGAUCCUGUCUUCUCGGCGCAUGAACAUCACUCUCCUGACCCGUUGGCUCUGGCGUAUCGCCAACGAGGAGGGCGGCCUCUGGCUCACCAUCAUCUGA